UACGUAGGGCGCAAGCGUGUCCGGAAUCAUUGGGCGUAAAGAGCGCGUAGGCGGCCCGGUAAGUCCGCUGUAAAAGUCAAAGGCUCAACCUUUGAAUGUCAGUGGAUACUGCCGGGCUAGAGUCCGGAAGAGGCGAGUGGAAUUCCUGGUGUAGCGGUGGAAUGCGCAGAUAUCAGGAGGAACACCACGGCGAAGGCGCUC
rnacentral:rRNA from 1 species